GCAUUUAUUUAAAUUAAUGCUCUUCUUUUUUCCCAUCAAAUUCAAUAUUUAUUUAUUAAUUUUUAUUGAAAUUGGACGGACGCGUUUGUGUUGCGCGAGUGCACAGUGAGAAAGUAAAUUUCAAAAAAAAAUAAAAAUAAAAAUAUAACUCUGUUAUCUCUAACUUACCUCUAGUUGUGAUUAAAAUUUACAUGUCUAGCAAAACAACAAAAAGAAAAAUUCGUUUUUUUAAUGAAAUUGAUUUUAAAGAGAUAUACUAAUCAUAAUGAUGAUGAUGAUGAUGAUGACAACCGUUGAUACGCGUGAUAAGUUUGUAAACACUUUAAUUUUGUGUGUUAUUUAAUGAUUUUAUGACGCAUUUCCUGCAAAAUUUUAUGCAAAUUCUUAAUUUAAAUGAGGGCAACAUUUUAUUGGAUUAUGAUGUAAAAAUUGAAAACAUUUUUUUGCUUCUUUUCUGCAUUCAACAUACAACAAACAUCGUCUCACAGUGAAUAAUAAUGAAUAAAAGACUGUCACUGGUUGUUUGUGAAAAACAAUUACUGUAAACAUUAAAAUAAAUCCUAUAUAUGUGUGUAUUACAAGUUUUUUAAGAAGCCCUCUCUUAUUAUCUAAAAUGCAUUAGACUUGUAAAGUUUUUUAAGAAAAUUUAAAAAAUAUAAAAUAUAUUUUAAGCAUUUUGGUCUAAUAAAAUUUCAUUAAAUUCAAGUGUUUUUUUUGCUUUGAUAAUACAUACAAAGAAAGUUAAGCGGAGUUUCAAACGUCACCACCAAAAGAUUUUUCAAAUUUGGUAAAUAAAGAAAUAAGGAGAAUAUCAAGGAUUAUGUGAAUCAUGUUAAGAACAAAAAACAUUUUUCCAUUAUAAGGGCUGAAACCGUUAUUAUGUAAAGUUCUUUAAAAAAAAAAAAAAAAAAAAA